AGCAUCAAGUUAUAUAGGUGCACUGAUAGUGAAAGUCUAGUAUCCAAACUAGAUGACCCAGAUAUGCAAUUUCGAGGACGAAAUUUUUAUAAGGAGGGAGGAAUGUAACACCCCGCCCAAUUAUAUUAAGUUUAGAAUUUAUUUUCGAACUUAGAAGUAAGAUGAUUCACGCCGGAUAUAAAGAAAAUGAAUUUAUUUUUUAAUUCCAACAAAAAUGAUUUACAAAAACAUUUGUAAAUGUAGUUAUUGAAUUUAUAUGCAUUGCAUAUUUAUUUAAUUUAGCAUUCAAGUAUUUUCACGAGCUAUUUAUUUAAGCAAACACUGAACGAUUAUUACAGUUUUCAUAGUACAACCCGGAAGACUUUUUAUUUUAUUCAAUCACCUAAUUUCUCCACCUAAUUUAUCCACCUACUCUUCCACCACUAAUUUUUUCUUUUCCCUACCACUAACUUAUUUUUAUCUAAUAAACAUGAGUGGAAGUGUGAUGAGUGAAGAUAGGAUUAGUGUGCUAAGGUGGUAGGGAACCAAGCUUUAAUCAUGAAUAAUGCUUUGUCCUUAAUCAUUCUUCCAUUUCAAGACAAAGCUCAUCACUUCACUCCCUCACACUUCAAUUCUCGGCCUCCCCUCUCUCUCUCUAUACUCUCUUUUCCUCCAUUGAUGUCCAUUGAAGAAAGCUUAGAGAAGCUUCAUCAAACACUACUAUGAGAUAAUCCACCAUCCAAUCCAAUCAAAUACUAUCAUAUCUCAUCAAAUUCAAGAAGCUAGAGCUAAGAUCAAAGUUGGAGCAAAGUCUUGAUCACCUUUUAAAUCCUUGAGCUUUGUGAUGACCAGGAGGAUUAGCGCUACUUUUCCAAGACAGGUUUAUAUGUGUAUGAUCUUCAGGCUUUGCCUAUCCAGGUUGGCUGGCUGGUGCUGACGGGACGGAGCUGAGGCUAGAGUUAAAAUUCAUAUGUUAGACUUCCGCUGUAGCAAUUACUCAUUUCAGUCUUUUGUUUUCCCAACUUAAGAUCUUCAUGUUAAAUUUCAAAUGAUAUAUUUGACCGAGCUUAGACUCUUCACUACUAAAUUUAUGUCAAUGAAUGUCGGUUGUCAGAAGCAUGAAACAAAA